ACACAUAUGCUGUCUCAGUUUAACUAACAGGUAAUAUAGUAAAAUUUACCUUAAGUAGUGUGCGUAGAACUCGCUGAAUUUCAGUUUUAAAUUAAAAUCACCUUUAUAAAAUUAAAAGAAGACAUUAUUUUGGAGAGCACGACGAUGCGUUUCUUUUUUAAAUUGUAACAGUUGUUUAAAAAUAAUGAUUUAGUAUUUAUCGAUAAACUAUAUAUUCAACGUUAUAUUCGGAAUACUAAUUAGAAUAAUAGGAAAAAACGCAUCGUCU